GCAGCCCCGGCCGCUGGGCGCACCCGUCCCGUUCGUCCCCGGACGUUGCUCUCUACCCCGGGAACGUCGAGACUGGAGCGCCCGAACUGAGCCACCUUCGCGGACCCCGAGAGCGGCGGCGCGACUCACCGCGGAGGCGCCCGGACGCGUCAAGCCCAGCCCAAUAGGAAGCACCUGAUCCACACUCUUUCUAGCCCCAGGGAUGCUCAGGAAAGCAGCCUUUCUUUAGGGCUGUCAUCUGUUCUGGGGAUCUGUUGCUGUUUCUUGGGCCCACAGAAUACACUCCACACCUCGGGACUCCAUAAUAUUGGACAAGGCUGGAAGGCCCAUUUGGCUCCUGCAGCCUCUUAUGCAGGAGGACCUCCUGAGGCUUCGGGCAGGAGCUGGUGCACACCUGGAGGAGAGUGCUGGUGAAUGGCAGGUGUGUGCCUCAGUGUCCUUGCUGCCAGGGUGUCAGCCCUGCUUCACCACUGGCCGUUUGUCUCUGUCCCCUCCACUGGCCUCUUGAAGCACAGAGACCCUCCGGUCAUCCUCUUCAGCGGUCCUCCCAGAGCUGUCCUCAGCAUGGCAGCCUCCACAGCCCCUGGGUGUCACCCCCGGUUUCGUGUCUGCCUCGGACUCCAGACCUGCCCCUCCCAGGCUGGCCCAGAUGGAUCCUCUACAGUGACUAACCCAAACCAGCACCAGGCAGGGACCCAAUAAACCUUUGUGAAUGGA
rnacentral:lncRNA from 1 species